UUGCACGCUGGCGGCAGGCCUAACACAUGCAAGUCGCACGGUAACAGGAAACAGCUUGCUGUUUCGCUGACGAGUGGCGGACGGGUGAGUAAUGUCUGGGAAACUGCCUGAUGGAGGGGGAUAACUACUGGAAACGGUAGCUAAUACCGCAUAACGUCGCAAGACCAAAGAGGGGGACCCUCGGGCCUCUUGCCAUCGGAUGUGCCCAGAUGGGAUUAGCUUGUUGGUGGGGUAACGGCUCACCAAGGCGACGAUCCCUAGCUGGUCUGAGAGGAUGACCAGCCACACUGGAACUGAGACACGGUCCAGACUCCUACGGGAGGCAGCAGUGGGGAAUAUUGCACAAUGGGCGCAAGCCUGAUGCAGCCAUGCCGCGUGUAUGAAGAAGGCCUUCGGUUUGUAAAGUACUUUCAGCGGGGAGGAAGGGAGUAAAGUUAAUACCUUUGCUCAUUGACGUUACCCGCAGAAGAAGCACCGGCUAACUCCGUG
rnacentral:rRNA from 1 species